GCCACACCAUGUUGGAACACCAGUUCCCAUACAAUCACCAAAGUUAAGCAAUCUUGAGCCUGGUCGGUACCUAGAUGGGUGAUUGCUUGGGAAUAGCAAAUGUUGCAAG